rnacentral:rRNA from 1 species
AGAGUUUGAUCCUGGCUCAGGAUGAACGCUAGCGACAGGCUUAACACAUGCAAGUCGAGGGGCAGCGGGGGCGUAGCAAUAUGCCUGCCGGCGACCGGCGCACGGGUGAGUAACACGUAUGUAACCUGCCCUAUGCAGGGGGAUAACCCGGAGAAAUCCGGCCUAAUACCGCGUAACACCUUAGGGGAGCAUUCUCUUGAGGUUAAAGGAGAGAUCCGGCAUAGGAUGGACAUGCGUCGCAUUAGGUAGACGGCGGGGUAACGGCCCACCGUGCCGACGAUGCGUAGGGGUUCUGAGAGGAAGGCCCCCCACACUGGUACUGAGACACGGACCAGACUCCUACGGGAGGCAGCAGUGAGGAAUAUUGGUCAAUGGCCGAGAGGCUGAACCAGCCAAGUCGCGUGAGGGAAGAAUGUCCUAAGGAUUGUAAACCUCUUUUGUCGGGGAGCAAAAAGGCUCUGCGGAGUCGUAUUGAGAGUACCCGAAGAAAAAGCAUCGGCUAACUCCGUGCCAGCAGCCGCGGUAAUACGGAGGAUGCGAGCGUUAUCCGGAUUUAUUGGGUUUAAAGGGUGCGCAGGCGGCGUGUCAAGCAAGCGGUAAAAUAGCGGGGCUCAACCCCGUCGAGCCGUUUGAACUGGCGCGCUUGAGUUCAGGCGAGGUAGGCGGAAUUCGUGGUGUAGCGGUGAAAUGCAUAUAUAUCACGCAGAACUCCGAUUGCGAAGGCAGCAUACCGGCGCCCGACUGACGCUGAGGCACGAAAGCGUGGGGAUCGAACAGGAUUAGAUACCCUGGUAGUCCACGCAGUAAACGAUGAAUACUAACUGUCCGGGUCGA